rnacentral:rRNA from 1 species
CCUACGGGCGGCUGCAGUGAGGAAUAUUGGUCAAUGGACGAGAGUCUGAACCAGCCAAGUAGCGUGAAGGAUGACUGCCCUAUGGGUUGUAAACUUCUUUUAUAUGGGAAUAAAAUGUUCCACGUGUGGGAUUUUGUAUGUACCAUAUGAAUAAGGAUCGGCUAACGCCGUGCAAGCAGCCGCGGUAAUACGGAGGAUCCGAGCGUUAUCCGGAUUUAUUGGGUUUAAAGGGCGCGUAGGUGGAUUGUUAAGUCGGUUGUGAAAGUUUGCGGCUCAACCGUAAAAUUGCAGUUGAUACUGGCAGUCUAGAGUAACGGAGAGGUGGGCGGAAUUCGUGGUGUAGCAGUGAAAUGCUUAGAUAUCGCGAAGAACUCUGGUGGCGAAGGCAGGUCACUGGACUGCAACUGACACUGAGGCUCGAAGGUGUGGGUAGCAAAAAGGAUUAGAUACCCGUGUAGUC